AAGUCGUAACAAGGUUUCCGUAGGUGAACCUGCGGAAGGAUCAUUAUUGAAUUUAAUGUAGAGUUGGUUGUAGCUGGCCCUUGGAUUAAUUUCUUGGGGGCAUGUGCACACCUUCUCUUUCAUCCCACACACACCUGUGAACCUGUGAGAUAGUAGUUGGGGACUUUAAUGGACCCACUUCUGUCUACUUAAUUCAUAUAAAAUCAAUUUAAUUUAAAACGAAUGUAAUGGAUGUAACGCAUCUAAUACUAAGUUUCAACAACGGAUCUCUUGGCUCUC
rnacentral:misc_RNA from 1 species